UACGAAGGGGACUAGCGUUGUUCGGAUUUACUGGGCGUAAAGCGCGCGUAGGCGGAUCGCUAAGUCAGGGGUGAAAUCCCAGGGCUCAACCCUGGAACUGCCUUUGAUACUGACGAUCUGGAGAUCGGGAGAGGUUGGUGGAAUUCCGAGUGUAGAGGUGAAAUUCGUAGAUAUUCGGAGGAACACCAGAAGCGAAGGCGGCCAACUGGCCCGAUACUGACGCUGAGGCGCGAAAGCGUGGGGAGCGAACCGG
rnacentral:rRNA from 1 species